rnacentral:rRNA from 1 species
GACGAACGCUGGCGGCGUGCUUAACACAUGCAAGUCGAACGGAAAGGCCCUGCUUGCAGGGUACUCGAGUGGCGAACGGGUGAGUAACACGUGGGUGAUCUGCCCUGCACUUCGGGAUAAGCCUGGGAAACUGGGUCUAAUACCGGAUAGGAGCCAUUUUUAGUGUGAUGGUUGGAAAGUUUUUUCGGUGUAGGAUGAGCUCGCGGCCUAUCAGCUUGUUGGUGGGGUAAUGGCCUACCAAGGCGGCGACGGGUAGCCGGCCUGAGAGGGUGGACGGCCACAUUGGGACUGAGAUACGGCCCAGACUCCUACGGGAGGCAGCAGCGGGGAAUAUUGCACAAUGGGCGCAAGCCUGAUGCAGCGACGCCGCGUGGGGGAUGACGGCCUUCGGGUUGUAAACUCCUUUCGCUAGGGACGAAGCUUUUUGUGACGGUACCUAGAUAAGAAGCACCGGCUAACUACGU